rnacentral:rRNA from 1 species
GACGAACGCUGGCGGCGUGCCUAAUACAUGCCAGUUGAGCGCUGAAGGUUGGUACUUGUACCGACUGGAUGAGCAGCGAACGGGUGAGUAACGCGUGGGGAAUCUGCCUUUGAGCGGGGGACAACAUUUGGAAACGAAUGCUAAUACCGCAUAAAAACUUUAAACACAAGUUUUAAGUUUGAAAGAUGCAAUUGCAUCACUCAAAGAUGAUCCCGCGUUGUAUUAGCUAGUUGGUGAGGUAAAGGCUCACCAAGGCGAUGAUACAUAGCCGACCUGAGAGGGUGGUCGGCCACAGUGGGACUGGGACACGGCCCAAACUCCUACGGGAGGCAGCAGUAGGGAAUCUUCGGCAAUGGACGAAAGUCUGACCGAGCAACGCCGCGUGAGUGAAGAAGGUUUUCGGAUCGUAAAACUCUGUUGGUAGAGAAGAACGUUGGUGAGAGUGGAAAGCUCAUCAAGUGACGGUAACUACCCAGAAAGGGACGGCUAACUACGUG